rnacentral:lncRNA from 1 species
AGGCGGUGGGGGGAAGGAGGGGGGUUGCCGUGGUCCUCCAAGGGGGGGUUCUGUGAUUUCUGGGUCCUCCAAGGAGGGGGUCCGACUGUACCCAAGUCCUCCAAGGACCCCCCAGAGUCCUCCAAGGGGGAGUUCUGUGAUUUCUGAGUCCUCCAAGGAAGGGGUCCGGCUGUACCUAAGUCCUCCAAGGACCCCCCAAAGUCCUCCAAGGGGGGGUUCUGUGGUCUCUGGGUCCUCCAAGGAGGGGGUCCGACUGUACCCAAGUCCUCCAAGGACCCCCCAAAGUCCUCCAAGGGGGGAUUCUGAGAUCUCUGGGUCCUCCAAGGGGGAAUUCUGUGGUCCCUGGGUCCUCCAAGGAAGGGGUCUGACUGUACCCAAGUUCUCCAAGGACCCCCCAAAGUCCUCCAAGGGGGGGGUUCUGUGAUCUCUGGGUCCUCCAAGGAAGGGGUCCGACUGUACCCCAGUCCUCCAAGGGCCCCCCCAAGUCCUCCAAGGGGGGGAUCUCCCCGUUCCCGUGCCCCCCAACUUCUUUUUUUGUCUCUUUCUCUCUCCCACAGGGGCCGCGCCAGAGCCACCUCCUGGUACUCCCCCUAUUGAAAGCCGUCAGCGCCCCACAAGUGUGGGG